GACGAACGCUGGCGGCGUGCCUAAUACAUGCAAGUAGAACGCUGAAGAGGGGAGCUUGCUCUUCUUGGAUGAGUUGCGAACGGGUGAGUAACGCGUAGGUAACCUGCCUUGUAGCGGGGGAUAACUAUUGGAAACGAUAGCUAAUACCGCAUAACAAUAGGUGACACAUGUCAUUUAUUUGAAAGGGGCAAUUGCUCCACUACAAGAUGGACCUGCGUUGUAUUAGCUAGUAGGUGAGGUAACGGCUCACCUAGGCGACGAUACAUAGCCGACCUGAGAGGGUGAUCGGCCACACUGGGACUGAGACACGGCCCAGACUCCUACGGGAGGCAGCAGUAGGGAAUCUUCGGCAAUGGGGGCAACCCUGACCGAGCAACGCCGCGUGAGUGAAGAAGGUUUUCGGAUCGUAAAGCUCUGUUGUAAGUCAAGAACGAGUGUGAGAGUGGAAAGUUCACACUGUGACGGUAGCUUACCAGAAAGGGACGGCUAACUACGUG
rnacentral:rRNA from 1 species